rnacentral:snoRNA from 1 species
AUCUGCCUCCCUUUCUGACUGGCUGAUCCAGGUCCUGGAUGGUGCAGGGAGAGGAAAUGCUAAAGUGUUUCUUGUACCUGGAGAGUCCACCCCAAAUCCUUCUAGGCCCUAGAAUUUUCUCA